rnacentral:lncRNA from 1 species
GUCGAUGCAGCUUCGGCACUUUCGUUCCACCCAUCCCUAUACAUCGUGAUCGCAUGUGACCCCGAAAUGGCGUCCGCCGCAGAGCCGGGCGAUGAUCCCGGCGAUAACUCCGAUGAUUGUGAUGGCCGCCAGCACCACCACCAGUGUCUCUAUUGAACGGCUAGUUGAGUGGCUGGGCUGCGCCGCCGCCACCACCACCACCACCACCGGAGGUGGCUCUACUAGUGGCGGCAGUUGAGCCAUUUUAUAUGUUUCGUGCGUCUUAGAGAAACUUGUGAGAAUCAAGAAAAUGAUUUAACAAAUUACUAUAGAGAGAGAGAGAGAGAGCGAGAGAGAGAGAGAGAGAGAGAGAGAGAGAGAGAGAGAGAGAGAGGGAGAGAUGUCCAAAUGAACUUUGAACAACAACAAAUGAAAGAAAAAAACAUGGAAUUAAGUAACAAAUGAAUAGAAAGUAAAUGU